GGCUUUAGUCCACUUGAAACACUUUAUGGAUGCCAUUUUCUCACUAAUGAUUUUCUCUCCAACAGAGAGAUGCCUUACUGAAGGAUGUCACAUCACUGGCUAAAUUCCAACAGACUCUUCAACAUCUAAUGGAAGCUCAAUCUAAAGAAAAGGGAAAUCCCAUAUUCCACCUCAGAGACUUAAUACUGGUGAAGUCUCUUCCCUCAUCGUCCCCUUUCCUAGGACCAACUUGGGAAGGACCACACACUGUGACCCUGUCAACUCUAUCAGCUGUCAAGGGAGCAGGGCUGGACUCCUAGGUGCACCAUACCUGACUCAAGUCCUGGGAACCAGACAUGUCACUGAGUGUGAGCAAGCAUCAUCAGAAUACUCCUGUGAAGCUACAGAAGACUCAAGAUUCUUGUUCAAGAAAAAGCAAAGCCUUGAGAUAAGUAAUCUAAGAUGUUACUCUUAGCCCUUUUACUAAUCACUUUACCACUUAAGGGAGAAUGCAAUUCCUUUCUAAGGUGCACACAAGAAUAUCAGAGUCAUUACAGCAAACACCUCCUGGAUAUGUGACCUGCUCCCCUUGUCCAGUAAAUCUGGACUUCCUUGGUGGGUAUCCCUACUCCAAGGAGAUAACUGGAAUAAACUACAAGACUAUAUUGAUGAGUUACAAGAGUUCACUGGUGCAUAGUGUACCCCACCAUUACAAGUUAGAAUUAGCCCAAUUCAGUGUAAUGUCACAUGCAAAUCCUCUUUUCCAACUUUGGGAGGAGCUGAAGUGA
rnacentral:lncRNA from 1 species